rnacentral:lncRNA from 1 species
GCUUUUUUGCACGUGUGGCUCCUACGUGAGUCCUGCUAUUCAAAGAUGGAUCCUGCUGGUAUUGGCUACAGUCAGUUCUCCCAUGAUUCUUAGAGGAGUGUGAAAUAUCUAAAUGAAAUGCUUGAAAGCAGAGAAAAAGUAAGAAAAUUGUGAGUCUCCACCAACAAAACCAUCUGCCAAGAUAACUGAAUUUGCUGCCAUAGACAGGAAAUAUAAAUGUCCAAGUGACAACUUUCUUGAUUGUCUACUGGUGUCACAAAAAUAUCUUUUGACUCCCCAAGUGAAGACUGAUUUUCCUGCUUCUCGAUCGUCUGCUGUAAUACCUAGCACAGUGCUGGGCCCCAAAUACUUCCGAAAUGAAUCACUACAUGCUGAAGACGGUGAAAAGAUUUAAAACAAAAAUCAUCCUGAAGCUCUUCUGGCAAAAGGUCAACUGGAAUUUAUGACAAAUGUCAGUAGCGGAGGACAAGAUAUGGGUGUUGUUCCCAGAUAUGAAGGGGAGAUGACACCAACACAGAGAAAUAGUUGCAACAUGGCAGAGAAGCCCUGCUCCUUGUGUUCAUUCAAGACUCAAGUUCUCUCAAAGUCCUUUUUUCUGACAAUGCCAAGGGCACUGUCAUCACCUGCAAGGUCUAUGCUGGAUUCCACUUUGCGGGGAUGGAUUUCCACCUUGCUGUUGGCAAGGGGAGUAAGCAAGCUCAAGCUCAAGACCUCACAGAUCACUUCUCUUCAAUUCCAUCAGCGAGAACUUGGUAUGUGGCUAUUCUUAACCACAAGAGAGCCAGGGAAAUGCAAUCUAGCUGGGCAGUUAUGUGUCCAAAUGAAGGACAGAAUGUAUUUUUCACAGACAACCAGCAGUCUUGCCAUCAAGUCCUUGUUAUUUUUCUUUUCUUUUCUUUUUUUGGGGGGGGGUCACACCUAUGGCAUAUGGAAGUUCCCCAGCUACAGGGUCAAGUCAGAGUUUCAGCUGCCGGGCUAUGCCACAGCCACAGCAACUCGAGAUCUGAGCCUCGUCUGUGACCUACACCACAGCAACGCCAGAUCCUUAACCCACUGAGUGAGGCCAGGGAUUGAACCUGCAUCCUAACAGAUACUAGCCGGAUUCGUUUCUGCUACGCCACAAUGAGAACUCCCCAAGUUCUUGUUAAGAACAUGAAAUAAACAAUUGGAGUGUCAAAUAUUGUCUGUGACU